rnacentral:rRNA from 1 species
UACGUAGGGGGCAAGCGUUGUCCGGAAUUACUGGGCGUAAAGGGAGCGUAGGCGGUCUUUUAAGUUAGAUGUGAAAUACCCGGGCUCAACUUGGGAGGUGCAUCUAAAACUGGGAGACUUGAGUGCAGGAGAGGAAAGUGGAAUUCCUAGUGUAGCGGUGAAAUGCGUAGAUAUUAGGAGGAACACCAGUGGCGAAGGCGACUUUCUGGACUGUAACUGACGCUGAGGCUCGAAAGCGUGGGGAGCAAACAGG